AUGCUGCCUCUAAUUUCCCUGCAGGCCUGCACAGGUCCUGGGGGUCAGGCUGCAGCGCCAAUGCACUGGCUUGCUCAUAACUGGGGCAACUGGCCCCUCUUCUGGGGGCCCUUUUAACCUGGAGCGACAUUU